rnacentral:rRNA from 1 species
CGCGUAGGCGGUUGUGUAAGUCAGAUGUGAAAUCCUUCGGCUCAACCGGAGAACUGCAUUUGAUACUGCAUGACUCGAGUAUUGGAGAGGGAAACGGAAUUCCCGGUGUAGAGGUGAAAUUCGUAGAUAUCGGGAGGAACACCGGUGGCGAAGGCGGUUUCCUGGCCAAAUACUGACGCUGAGGCGCGAAAGCGUGGGUAGCAAACAGGAUUAGAUACCCUGGUAGUCCACGCUGUAAACGGUGAGUGCUGGGUGUGGGAGGUGUAAUGCCUUCUGUGCCGAAGCUAACGCGUUAAGCACUCCGCCUGGGGAGUACGGCCGCAAGGUUGAA